CGAAAAUCACCGAUUUAUCCUUCGGGCGAUAAAUCUUGUUUUAAUCGGCAUAGUCGUGGCGCGUUCGUGUGCUAGCGGCAGAACGACGUGGUACCGAAAAACGGUGCCGAAAAAAUCGCAUCACGAAUCCCUUUGCGAUCAACCGCAUCCUCCGACUCCAUUUCUUGAAAUGCCAGCCUCGCAGAGGCUGAAAAUAGCGGGCAACCGAUUAAAAAAAAAACGGGGUAAAUAGGUCUGGAUAUCGCCAGACUACGGUCCGUAGUGCGUGGAACACAUGAAGGAACGGGAAAACAACCUCCUCAUCGGAAACACACACCGACACACACAGUUAAUCUCCAAUAUCUGCCCGUCGCAGUCAGGUCCUGGAUAACGUGUUCAGCACCAGCAGCCUACCCGACGUCUUCGGUCCUUUUUAGUUCCUGCACGCACUGGCGAAUUGCGUCUUCGUUUCACAGGGAAAACGUGGAUGGACGAUGGCGAAAUUUAUUAAAGCUGAGGUAUACUCGCCGUGUGAUGAUCCAAGGCGGUCUGUUGUGGAGGGCUGGAGGAUCUGGUUGUGUUAUGCUGCUGGUCGACGGCUGUGAGCGCUGUGAACUCCCCGCCGCACACCGUGGGAUCCGCGCUGUAAACAAGCAGCAGUCGCACCGCUCCACUUUAUAAUGUCUCGCUGCGGCUUGUAGGACAUGGACAUCCAACGUCCAAGUGUUGUCACGUGAUUCCACUUGCCACCCCCACUGACGUCACUGGCUAAUCGCGCGGGAGAGCUUCAUUCUCUUCUCGACUACUCGACUACUUCACCAAGAUGACAACGACGGCAAGCAACUAAAAUUAAUGACUGAAACAACCUAAUUCAUGACAUAACACAUCUCAGGAAGUGGUGGUUCUCCACUUUGUUGGAGAAUCUCCAUGCAGAAGGGUAUAGUUCUUCUGAAGCAGAUGUGCUGUGAAUUCCAAUAUUAACACAACCGUAACAAUGACCUACAAAACUAUAUGUGUGUGUGUGUGUGUGUGUGUGUGUGUG
ensembl:lncRNA